GACUAUAGAUCAAGGGGUUGAGCAUAGGGUUAAAAAGACUGUGAAACAGCAAAAGAUAUUUCUUCUGCUCCUUUGGGCUCCCGUGUCUGGGUCCAACGUACAUGACAAUGGCGGUACCAUAAAACAAUCCGACCACACAGAGGUGGGAGGAGCAGGUGGAAAAGGCUUUCCUUUGACCCUCUUCUGACUGGAUCUUCAGGAUAGCACCAAGGAUACAUGCAUAAGAGACCACAAUUGAGGAGAAUGGCCCCACAAGGACAGACACUGCCCCAGCCAGGACCAUCGUCUCAUUGAGAUUAAAGAAUUUGCCUUGUGUUCUGAGCUUGUUGAAUGUGUGUUUCUUAUGAGAAAGUGAUCAACUUAUCACUUACUUUUUAAUAAAGGUUCUGGAGGUGCUUCAUUCUUAGGCCUCCUCUCUUUAAGACAGUUGUGAUGCUCUGUUCGCUAUGGUCACAUCACAGUAGAUGACAGAGGGUGAGGGAUGCCAGUGAGUAUGGGGGACCCCUGUGUACAGCACAGCAAGACAAUAAGUGUAUAGCCAUGAGGACCGACACUGAAAACUAUUAUCUCACUGUGGCUCGAGGACUCUGAGAAUGAUGGAGAAGUUUCCAGAAGAUCAAGAGGAUCAAAACCAUUUACAUAAUGAUAUUUUGACAAACUUUGUCCAUUUUCUCUGGCAUUCUCUCAUGUGUACAUGCUGAAAAUUGAAGAUACGAAGUAGAGCUGACUAUUAAAGCCAAACUUUAAAAUUUAUAAAAUUGUGAACUAAUGAAAAUUUUCUGACUUUAAUACAAUAACAGUUUCAUAAAUGACAACAUUUAUACUCAAUAUAUGCAUGUGUAAAUAAAGAUGAAUUCAAAGU